AUUCUCCUGUUUAUGUGCUCCCUUCGAGUCCUGGGGAGCCCUCAGCACUUUGAGGUCCUUCUGAUGCAUCAUUUUGCUCUCUCUGCUGCUGUUACCUCACUCCAGCCCUCAGCUAGAAGAAAUAAUGUGAUUUCCUAAAACGUGGGAAUUAGCAAGUCAAGCCCAGAGAAUUAAAACUGCCCGGAGGCUCAGCUGCCCUGAAAGAAUCCAGUAAAACUCCAUCUCAAGCUAGCAAGAAGCGGAACACGGCAUCUAUUUUUGUUAUGACAUCCUUGAGGUCAGCCCAGCAACAGGGAGGGGAAGAAAUUAAAAGACCCAAACAUUUGCAAGACUGCUCGAUGUUUUAAGGACCUGUAAGGAGGCUGAGGAAUAAGACGUCUGACACAGAGAACUGUGGCUGAAACCUUCCUAAGACUGCUGCCAUUGUGCAAACCAAGUGCACACCAGUAGGAGAGCAGUGCCACAACCGAGCAAUGGCACAAAGCAUCACAGGAGGGGGAGAGAUGGAUGGAAAAAGUAGAGCGAGGUGCAAGUUUCUGCACAGCUGGAGCACAGCUACGGCGCUGGAGAAACAUCUGCAUAGAGCACAGAGCCCUUCAGAUGGCAGGCAAGCAAGUAAGCAAGCCUCUAUUAAAACAGCCCCCUGGGCAACUGCCUGGAGAGCUCAUCCUUGGUCAAGUAUUUGUUUUGAAGAAGGAGUUCUGGCACCCGAGCCGCAGUGUUUGCCUUCAGCCUUUCUGUGUCUCCCUUCCUCCUGUGAGCAGAUUGCUGUGAGAACAUCUUGCUGCUUCCUUCACUUCUGCUGCACCAAAAAGCCAUCAGUGCAAUGCUGAAAGGGAACAGAGAAAGGGGCUGGAAGCACUUUAAUUACUGUGAGUGCUUGUUUUGUGUACGUGUGAUUGCUUCCUAUGAUACAGUAACUUCUUCUCUUUCCCCAUGCAAGGAUGGUGUUUCUAUUUAUCACGAUGAAUCCAGAGCAGCAAAUUAGAGAGGGAAAGGGAGCAACUGCAUUGCUCUAUUUGUAAGCAAAACUGGCACUGUGUGCGGAGGAGCAACAGUUUCUGUUGAAAGCAAGUAAUGGAUUUUCUCCCUGCAGAACUCCUUUGGCCCUUUGCUUUCACUUCCUGUUCUUCACUGGCUUUUAAAAGACUGCCCAAGUUCCUGCCAUGCUUAGAAGAGUUGAGUGCUAUUAUUCCCAUUUACAGAGAAAAAAAAGAAAAAAGUAGAUGGCGAGAAGCUUCUAUCUGUGAACAUUGGUUAAUCCCAUUCUUUUUAAUGCUGAAAAUGUGUUAAGGACAACGAGGUGCAGAGCCAGACCUCGUUUGGGCUCCAGGGGCCACUGAGCAGCAGUGGGCAGCACUGCACACCAUGAGUGGGGGCAUCUUCCAGAACUGGGGCUCCUGGUGGUGGGAAGGGUUCUGUUUACACGAGGUAACGUUCCCUCAAUCACCUUUUCCAUUUAAUUUUCUGUGCUUUGUGCUGCCUGCUAGGGAUCGUUAAGCAAUACUCCAGUUAUCACUGCAUAUCACUUAGUGUGCUUUGCUCUAAUAAGCUUUUGUAAAUAAAACCCAGAGAGAUGAAAAGGCCAACGCCUGAUUACGAGCUACCAAUUUUGUCUCAUUAAGUUCUUAUAAGGGAAAAAAGUAAAUAGAAUCUUUAUCAAUCUCGCACACUUACAGCUCUGAAGAGAGAGCUUUCCACAUUCAUUAGGAAGGAUGCUGAGAACAGAGAUGUGUUUGCAGGCAC
rnacentral:lncRNA from 7 species